rnacentral:rRNA from 1 species
UUAAGCGACUAAGCGUACACGGUGGAUGCCCUGGCAGUCAGAGGCGAUGAAGGACGUGCUAAUCUGCGAUAAGCGUCGGUAAGGUGAUAUGAACCGUUAUAACCGGCGAUUUCCGAAUGGGGAAACCCAGUGUGUUUCGACACACUAUCAUUAACUGAAUCCAUAGGUUAAUGAGGCGAACCGGGGGAACUGAAACAUCUAAGUACCCCGAGGAAAAGAAAUCAACCGAGAUUCCCCCAGUAGCGGCGAGCGAACGGGGAGCAGCCCAGAGCCUGAAUCAGUGUGUGUUAGUGGAAGCGUCUGGAAAGGCGCGCGAUACAGGGUGACAGCCCCGUACACAAAAAUGCACAUGCUGUGAGCUCGAUGAGUAGGGCGAGACACGUGGUAUCCUGUCUGAAUAUGGGGGGACCAUCCUCCAAGGCUAAAUACUCCUGACUGACCGAUAGUGAACCAGUACCGUGAGGGAAAGGCGAAAAGAACCCCGGCGAGGGGAGUGAAAAAGAACCUGAAACCGUGUACGUACAAGCAGUGGGAGCACGCUUAGGCGUGUGACUGCGUACCUUUUGUAUAAUGGGUCAGCGACUUAUAUUCUGUAGCAAGGUUAACCGAAUAGGGGAGCCGAAGGGAAACCGAGUCUUAACUGGGCGUUAAGUUGCAGGGUAUAGACCCGAAACCCGGUGAUCUAGCCAUGGGCAGGUUGAAGGUUGGGUAACACUAACUGGAGGACCGAACCGACUAAUGUUGAAAAAUUAGCGGAUGACUUGUGGCUGGGGGUGAAAGGCCAAUCAAACCGGGAGAUAGCUGGUUCUCCCCGAAAGCUAUUUAGGUAGCGCCUCGUGAAUUCAUCUCCGGGGGUAGAGCACUGUUUCGGCAAGGGGGUCAUCCCGACUUACCAACCCGAUGCAAACUGCGAAUACCGGAGAAUGUUAUCACGGGAGACACACGGCGGGUGCUAACGUCCGUCGUGAAGAGGGAAACAACCCAGACCGCCAGCUAAGGUCCCAAAGUCAUGGUUAAGUGGGAAACGAUGUGGGAAGGCCCAGACAGCCAGGAUGUUGGCUUAGAAGCAGCCAUCAUUUAAAGAAAGCGUAAUAGCUCACUGGUCGAGUCGGCCUGCGCGGAAGAUGUAACGGGGCUAAACCAUGCACCGAAGCUGCGGCAGCGACACUAUGUGUUGUUGGGUAGGGGAGCGUUCUGUAAGCCUGUGAAGGUGUGCUGUGAGGCAUGCUGGAGGUAUCAGAAGUGCGAAUGCUGACAUAAGUAACGAUAAAGCGGGUGAAAAGCCCGCUCGCCGGAAGACCAAGGGUUCCUGUCCAACGUUAAUCGGGGCAGGGUGAGUCGACCCCUAAGGCGAGGCCGAAAGGCGUAGUCGAUGGGAAACAGGUUAAUAUUCCUGUACUUGGUGUUACUGCGAAGGGGGGACGGAGAAGGCUAUGUUGGCCGGGCGACGGUUGUCCCGGUUUAAGCGUGUAGGCUGGUUUUCCAGGCAAAUCCGGAAAAUCAAGGCUGAGGCGUGAUGACGAGGCACUACGGUGCUGAAGCAACAAAUGCCCUGCUUCCAGGAAAAGCCUCUAAGCAUCAGGUAACAUCAAAUCGUACCCAAACCGACACAGGUGGUCAGGUAGAGAAUACCAAGGCGCUUGAGAGAACUCGGGUGAAGGAACUAGGCAAAAUGGUGCCGUAACUUCGGGAGAAGGCACGCUGAUAUGUAGGUGAAGUCCCUUGCGGAUGGAGCUGAAAUCAGUCGAAGAUACCAGCUGGCUGCAACUGUUUAUUAAAAACACAGCACUGUGCAAACACGAAAGUGGACGUAUACGGUGUGACGCCUGCCCGGUGCCGGAAGGUUAAUUGAUGGGGUCAGCGCAAGCGAAGCUCUUGAUCGAAGCCCCGGUAAACGGCGGCCGUAACUAUAACGGUCCUAAGGUAGCGAAAUUCCUUGUCGGGUAAGUUCCGACCUGCACGAAUGGCGUAAUGAUGGCCAGGCUGUCUCCACCCGAGACUCAGUGAAAUUGAACUCGCUGUGAAGAUGCAGUGUACCCGCGGCAAGACGGAAAGACCCCGUGAACCUUUACUAUAGCUUGACACUGAACAUUGAGCCUUGAUGUGUAGGAUAGGUGGGAGGCUUUGAAGUGUGGACGCCAGUCUGCAUGGAGCCGACCUUGAAAUACCACCCUUUAAUGUUUGAUGUUCUAACGUGGACCCGUGAUCCGGGUUGCGGACAGUGUCUGGUGGGUAGUUUGACUGGGGCGGUCUCCUCCUAAAGAGUAACGGAGGAGCACGAAGGUUGGCUAAUCCUGGUCGGACAUCAGGAGGUUAGUGCAAUGGCAUAAGCCAGCUUGACUGCGAGCGUGACGGCGCGAGCAGGUGCGAAAGCAGGUCAUAGUGAUCCGGUGGUUCUGAAUGGAAGGGCCAUCGCUCAACGGAUAAAAGGUACUCCGGGGAUAACAGGCUGAUACCGCCCAAGAGUUCAUAUCGACGGCGGUGUUUGGCACCUCGAUGUCGGCUCAUCACAUCCUGGGGCUGAAGUAGGUCCCAAGGGUAUGGCUGUUCGCCAUUUAAAGUGGUACGCGAGCUGGGUUUAGAACGUCGUGAGACAGUUCGGUCCCUAUCUGCCGUGGGCGCUGGAGAACUGAGGGGGGCUGCUCCUAGUACGAGAGGACCGGAGUGGACGCAUCACUGGUGUUCGGGUUGUCAUGCCAAUGGCACUGCCCGGUAGCUAAAUGCGGAAGAGAUAAGUGCUGAAAGCAUCUAAGCACGAAACUUGCCCCGAGAUGAGUUCUCCCUGACUCCUUGAGAGUCCUGAAGGAACGUUGAAGACGACGACGUUGAUAGGCCGGGUGUGUAAGCGCAGCGAUGCGUUGAGCUAACCGGUACUAAUGAACCGUGAGGCUUAACCUU